rnacentral:rRNA from 1 species
GAUGAACGCUGGCGGCGUGCCUAAUACAUGCAAGUCGAACGCAUUGAGAGAAGUGCUUGCACUUUUCAAUUUGAGUGGCGAACGGGUGAGUAACACGUGGGCAACCUACCUGAUAGCGGGGGAUAACGAGUGGAAACAUUCGCUAAUACCGCAUAACAAUAGAGAAGGCAUCUUCUUUAUUUAAAAGGCGCUUUCAAGCGUCACUAUCAGAUGGGCCCGCGGUGCAUUAGUUAGUUGGUGGGGUGAAGGCCUACCAAGACGAUGAUGCAUAGCCGAGUUGAAAGACUGAGCGGCCACAUUGGGACUGAGACACGGCCCAAACUCCUACGGAGGCUGCAGUAGGGAAUCUUCCACAAUGGACGAAAGUCUGAUGGAGCAACGCCGCGUGUGUGAUGAAGGCCUUCGGGUCGUAAAGCACUGUUGUAUGGGAAGAAAUGCUAGGCUAGGAAAUGAGCUUAGUUUGACGGUACCAUACCAGAAAGGGACGGCUAAAUACGUGCCAGCCGCCGCUGUAA